UAAAAUGUAAGUACCUUUAUACAAAAUGAUUUCUUGGAAGCAUGGUCGUUAUUCAUAAAGAUACCAAAAUCUUUAAAUUAGUGUACCUAAAAAGAUUUGUUUGUUUGAACAUUAAGUGCUCUGCAAACUUUCAUACUUAAACAAUUCGUUAUUUAUGAUUACGAGGUUUAUCCUACAAUGUAUUAAAUACAAUCGUUGGCGUUCAA